UAAUACGGAGGGUGCAAGCGUUGUUCGGAAUUAUAGGGCGUAAAGAGCGUGUAGGCGGUCCGGUAAGUCAGAUGUGAAAGCCCUGGGCUCAACCCAGGAAGUGCAUUUGAAACUACCAGACUUGAGUACGGGAGAGGAGGGGGGAAUUCCCGGCGUAGAGGUGAAAUUCGUAGAUAUCGGGAGGAAUACCAGUGGCGAAGGCGCCCCUCUGGACCGAUACUGACGCUGAGACGCGAAAGCGUGGGGAGCAAACAGGAUUAGAUACCCUGGUAGUCCACGCCGUAAACGAUGAGCACUAGGUGUAGCGGGUAUUGACCCCUGCUGUGCCGUAGCUAACGCAUUAAGUGCUCCGCCUGGGGACUACGGUCGCAAGACUA
rnacentral:rRNA from 1 species